rnacentral:rRNA from 1 species
GACGAACGCUGGCGGCGUGCUUAACACAUGCAAGUCGAACGGAAAGGCCCUGCUUUUUUGGGGUGCUCGAGUGGCGACCGGGUGAGUAACACGUGAGUAACCUGCCCUUGACUUUGGGAUAACUUCAGGAAACUGGGGCUAAUCCCGGAUAGGAGCUCCUGCUGCUUGGUGGGGGCUGGAAAGUUUCGGCGGUUGGGGAUGGACUCGCGGCGUAUCAGCUUGUUGGUGGGGUAGUGGCUUACCAAGGCUUUGACGGGUAGCCGGCCUGAGAGGGUCACCGGCCACAUUGGGACUGAGAUACGGCCCAGACUCCUACGGGAGGCAGCAGUGGGGAAUAUUGCACAAUGGGCGGAAGCCUGAUGCAGCAACGCCGCGUGCGGGAUGACGGCCUUCGGGUUGUAAACCGCUGUCGCCUGUGACGAAGCGUGAGUGACGGUAAUGGGUAAAGAAGCACCGGCUAACUACGUG